rnacentral:rRNA from 1 species
AGUGAACGCUGGCGGUAGGCCUAACACAUGCAAGUCGAACGGCAGCACAGUAAGAGCUUGCUCUUACGGGUGGCGAGUGGCGGACGGGUGAGGAAUACAUCGGAAUCUACUUUUUCGUGGGGGGUAACGUAGGGAAACUUACGCUGAUACCGCAUACGACCUACGGGUGAAAGCAGGGGAUCUUCGGACCUUGCGCGAUUGAAUGAGCCGAUGUCGGAUUAGCUAGUUGGCGGGGUAAAGGCCCACCAAGGCGACGAUCCGUAGCUGGUCUGAGAGGAUGAUCAGCCACACUGGAACUGAGACACGGUCCAGACUCCUACGGGAGGCAGCAGUGGGGAAUAUUGGACAAUGGGCGCAAGCCUGAUCCAGCCAUACCGCGUGGGUGAAGAAGGCCUUCGGGUUGUAAAGCCCUUUUGUCGGGAAAGAAAAGCAGCAGGUUAAUACCCCGCUGUUCUGACGGUACCCAAAGAAUAAGCACCGGCUAACUUCGUG